GUGAGGAAUUUUCCGCAAUGGGCGAAAGCCUGACGGAGCAAUGCCGCGUGAAGGAUGAAGGCCUAUGGGUUGUAAACUUCUUUUCUCAGAAAGAAUUAUGACGGUAUCUGAGGAAUAAGCAUCGGCUAACUCUGUGCCAGCAGCCGCGGUAAGACAGAGGAUGCAAGCGUUAUCCGGAAUGAUUGGGCGUAAAGCGUCUGUAGGUUGUUUAAAAAGUAUUCUGUCAAAGAUUAGGGCUUAACCCUAGAUAGACAGAAUAAACUUUUAAGCUAGAGUGUGGUAGAGGCAGAGGGAAUUCCCGGUGGAGCGGUGAAAUGCGUAGAUAUCGGGAGGAACACCAAAGGCGAAGGCACUCUGCUGGGCCAAUACUAACACUGAGAGACGAAAGCGAGGGGAGCAAAUGGGAUUAGAAACCCUAGUAGUCC
rnacentral:rRNA from 1 species